UGGGUUGGCGGGCUCCGUGCUUCGGCAUCGAACCGUCCGCGCACGCUCCACGUCAGUGACGCUUCAAGAGUUUCUUGUGCCCCGAAAGGAUUCCUGUAUUCGCUACCUAUCGUAAAGGAAUGUCCCCNCUCGUUGACCCUUUCCUUCCCCGACCCAUGCGGCCAGGGGAAGGACAUCACAGUAGUGCUUGUGCCCCUCGCGUUGGACGUGCCUCAUGGUGCGCGCGCAUUGCGACGGUUCCCAAGUUGCCNCUUGAUGUCUCGGAUACGGAACAUUCGGUGGGCCNGGGGUCUUUGCACCCUUNACGUCCGACUNAAAGCGUUUUGUCGCNAGACANGUACGACUGCCGUGCCCGUCGCGGGGUUGCCCGCACGGUGCUCGGCGUCGGCAAAGGAAUGCUACCUGGUU
rnacentral:misc_RNA from 1 species